AUUGAACGCUGGCGGCAUGCUUUACACAUGCAAGUCGAACGGUAACAGGCCGCAAGGUGCUGACGAGUGGCGAACGGGUGAGUAAUGCAUCGGAACGUGCCCAGUCGUGGGGGAUAACUACUCGAAAGAGUAGCUAAUACCGCAUACGAUCUAUGGAUGAAAGCGGGGGACCGUAAGGCCUCGCGCGAUUGGAGCGGCCGAUGUCAGAUUAGGUAGUUGGUGGGGUAAAGGCUCACCAAGCCAACGAUCUGUAGCUGGUCUGAGAGGACGACCAGCCACACUGGAACUGAGACACGGCCCAGACUCCUACGGGAGGCAGCAGUGGGGAAUUUUGGACAAUGGGCGCAAGCCUGAUCCGGCAAUGCCGCGUGCAGGAAGAAGGCCUUCGGGUUGUAAACUGCUUUUGUACGGAACGAAACGGCUCUGGUUAAUACCCGGGGCUAAUGACGGUACCGUAAGAAUAAGCACCGGCUAACUACGUG
rnacentral:rRNA from 1 species